rnacentral:rRNA from 1 species
UACGAAGGGGGCUAGCGUUGUUCGGAAUCACUGGGCGUAAAGGGCGCGUAGGUGGCCCGGUCAGUCUUUGGUGAAAGCGCGGGGCUCAACCCUGCGUCGGCCAGGGAUACUGCCGCGGCUCGAGCACUGUAGAGGCAGGCGGAAUUCCGGGUGUAGCGGUGGAAUGCGUAGAUAUCGAGAGGAACACCGGUGGCGAAGGCGAGUCCCUGGACAACACCUGACACUGAGGCACGAAAGCUAGGGGAGCAAACAGG